rnacentral:rRNA from 1 species
AGCUUGGUUGGGAGGGAGGACAGCCACACGGGGACGAGACACGGGCCCAGAAUUCUACGGGGAGGGCAGCAGUGGGGGAAUUUAAAACAAGGGGGGAAACCUGGAUUAGCCCUGGCCGCGUGAUUCGAUGAAAGGCCUUUAGGGUUUGUAAAGAUUCUUUUCAGUGGGGGAAAGAAUAAUGACGGUACCCCACAGAAGAAGCCCCCGGCUAACUCCCGUGCCAGCAGCCGCGGUAAUACGGAGGGGGCUAGCGUUAUUCGGAAUUACUGGGCGUAAAGCGCACGUAGGCGGAUUGGAAAGUUGGAGGUGAAAUCCCAGGGCUCAACCUUGGAACUGCCUUCAAAACUUCCAGUCUUGAUGUCGAGAGAGGUGAGUGGAAUUCCGAGUGGUAGAGGUGAAAUUCGUAGAUAUUCGGAGGAACACCAGAAGGCGAACGCGGCUCACUGGCUCGAUACUGACGCUGAGUGCGAAAGCGGUGGGGGAGCAAACAGGAUUAGAUACCCCUGGUAGUCCACGCCGUAA